rnacentral:rRNA from 1 species
GACGAACCGUGCAAACGUUGUUCGGAAUCACUGGGCUUAAAGGGCGCGUAGGCGGGCGAUCAAGUCUGGGGUGAAAUCUUUCGGCUUAACCGGAAAAGAGCCUCGGAUACUGGUCGUCUCGAGGGAGGUAGGGGCAUGCGGAACUUCCGGUGGAGCGGUGAAAUGCGUAGAUAUCGGAAGGAACGCCGGCGGCGAAAGCGGCGUGCUGGACCUCUUCUGACGCUGAGGCGCGAAAGCCAGGGGAGCAAACGGG